UGGUGUGAGUGGUCUUUUGACAUGCAGUGCCAUUGGCUAUUCGCAGUGAGGCUACUGGGUUUGACUGCAUUUUUUUUGGUCCCUAAUCAUUUGGUUUUUUGCUGUGUAUAUUGGCUUUAGUAGGUUUAGAUUUGCUGUUUGGAGUAGGAUGCAUCUAGAUGGAAUCUAUCAAUCUUGGUAGAAAAGGAGAAGUCCUAUAUAAUUUGUGAGACUGAGUUCAGAAAGUCUUUGGCCAAAGCAAGUGUAAAUAUUGAAAAGAG
rnacentral:lncRNA from 1 species